rnacentral:rRNA from 1 species
GUGAGGAAUAUUGGUCAAUGGGCGAGAGCCAGAACCAGCCAAGUCGCGUGAAGGAAGAAGGAUCUAUGGUUCGUAAACUUCUUUUGCAGGGGAAUAAAGUGCGGGACGUGUCCUGUUUUGUAUGUACCCUGAGAAUAAGGAUCGGCUAACUCCGUGCCAGCAGCCGCGGUAAUACGGAGGAUCCGAGCGUUAUCCGGAUUUAUUGGGUUUAAAGGGUGCGUAGGUGGUUUGAUAAGUCAGCGGUGAAAGUUUGCAGCUUAACUGUAAAAAUGCCGUUGAAACUGUCGGACUUGAGUGUAAAUGAGGUAGGCGGAAUGCGUGGUGUAGCGGUGAAAUGCAUAGAUAUCACGCAGAACUCCGAUUGCGAAGGCAGCUUACUAAGCUACAACUGACACUGAAGCACGAAAGCGUGGGGAUCAAACAGGAUUAGAUACACGAGUAGUCC